rnacentral:rRNA from 1 species
GAGUAGCUACGUCGGGAAGGGAUAAGCGCUGAAAGCAUAUAAGCGCGAAACCCACCACAAGAUGAGAUUUCUUUUAAGGGUCGUGGGAGAUGACCACGUUGAUAGGCUGCAGGUGUAAAGGCAGUAAUGUCAUAGCCGAGCAGUACUAAUAACCCGUAAGCUUAUGCGCAAGGU